GACGAACGCUGGCGGCGUGCUUAACACAUGCAAGUCGAACGGUAAGGCCCUUCGGGGUACACGAGUGGCGAACGGGUGAGUAACACGUGGGUGAUCUGCCCUGCACUUCGGGAUAAGCCUGGGAAACUGGGUCUAAUACCGGAUAGGACCCUGGGAUGCAUGUCCUGGGGUGGAAAGCUUUUGCGGUGUGGGAUGGGCCCGCGGCCUAUCAGCUUGUUGGUGGGGUGAUGGCCUACCAAGGCGACGACGGGUAGCCGGCCUGAGAGGGUGACCGGCCACACUGGGACUGAGAUACGGCCCAGACUCCUACGGGAGGCAGCAGUGGAGAAUAUUGCACAAUGGGCGCAAGCCUGAUGCAGCGACGACGCGUGAGGGAUGACGGCCUUCGGGUUGUAAACCUCUUUCAGCACCGACGAAGCGCAAGUGACGGUAGGUGCAGAAGAAGGACCGGCCAACUACGUGCCAGCCGCCGCAGUAA
rnacentral:rRNA from 1 species